AGCUCCAUUGGCGUAUAUUAAAGUUGUUGCGGUUAAAAAGCUCGUAGUUGGAUCUGUGUAUCGGACGGUCGGUUCGCCGCCCGCGGUGUUUAACUGACCGGUCCGGACGUCCUGCCGGUGGGGCCCGGUUCGCGCCGGGCCCCGUAACUCCCUCCGAGCUGCUCUUAACCGGGUGGCUCGGUGGGCCGGCACGUUUACUUUGAACAAAUUUGAGUGCUCAAAGCAGGCCAUUAGUUGCCUGAAAACUGUGUGCAUGGAAUAAUGGAAUAGGACCUUGGUUCUAUUUUGUUGGCUUUCUGAACUCGAGGUAAUGAUUAAUAGGGACAGACGGGGGCAUUCGUAUUGCGACGUUAGAGGUGAAAUUCUUGGAUCGUCGCAAGACGGACCGAUGCGAAAGCGUUUGCCAAGAAUGUUUUCGCUAAUCAAGAACGAAAGUUAGAGGUUCGAAGGCGAUCAGAUACCGCCCUAGUUCUAACCAUAAACGAUGCCAGCCAGCGAUGCGCCGAAGUUCCUCCGAUGACUCGGCGCGCAGCUUCCGGGAAACCAAAGCUUUUGGGUUCCGGGGGAAGUA
rnacentral:rRNA from 1 species